CUUCAGCGAGCCGAGCCGCAACGGCUCCUCGCGGUCCUUGCCGUAGGUCGCCAGCAGGGCCUGGGCCUC
rnacentral:antisense_RNA from 1 species